rnacentral:rRNA from 1 species
UGAUUCGUUUGUGGGUGUGCAUGGCCGUUUUAGGUUGUGGCUUGAGUUGUCUGGCUGAUUCCGAUAACGAACGAGACCCUCGUCGCAUAAUAGAAGGCGUCAUUGAAUUGAUCAAAAGGCGGUAGUGUUCACUUUAAUUGGAAAACCAAGCAAUUGGUCCCAGCUAAAUUGUUGAAUACACGUUUCAAGAUGGACGAAAAAAAAAUUAAAAUUCUUCUAUGCGAGACAAAUUGGAAAAACCAAUUGGAAGCUGGGGGCUAGAACAGGUCUGUGAUGCCCUUCGAAGUUCUGGGCCGCACGCGUGCUACAAUGAUGUUUACAUGGAGUAAAUGAGAGGAAGAAGGAAGAGGAAGGGAGCAAUUUCUUUCUUUUCUUUUAUUAUCCUUUCUUGAGCUUGACAUUUUAAAAGGUCUGGCUAAUCUUAAAAAAGACAUCGUAAUAUGGAUCGCUGAUUGAAAUUAUUCGGCGUGAAAGAGGAAUACCUUGUAACUGUGUGUCAUAAACGCACAAUGAAUACGUCCCUGCCUUUUGUACACACCGC